rnacentral:piRNA from 1 species
CUCGAGGGCUGCUGUGAGGACAGAGA